rnacentral:lncRNA from 1 species
UCAAGUAGGUGUAUGUAUUAUCCACAGCUGAUAGAAGUAGACAGUCUAUUAUUAAAAAAAAAAAAAAAUCCCUCCAAGCAAAAGGAUUUACACUAAUAAUUCAAACUGUUUUGCUAAGACAUAACAAGGUGGACAAUAGCAUGUGGGAGGGGAUGAGGAGAGUUGGUAAUUUCAUAAAACCAUGUGUUAUGAGACACUUGUGUUCAUUUGACAUUUACUUAACCGUUUUGCCUUGAUUUGGACUAAACUUAUGGAAGUCUUGAAAGAAGAAAGUUUAUGGGUUUGUGAAUCUAUGACUAACAACUCUGCAAAUAGCCCAAACAAUAUUUAUAAACAAAUACGCUUCCUUUAUUGCAAAUUAAAAUAUAUAUAUUUCAGUUUAAUAAAUGGACCACACUAGAGGAUAUGAUUGAUAUGGCUCAAAACAAGGAAUAUAAAACAUCAUAUUGACGACAUGGGGGCACACUGAAAUGCUGUAAUUUAAUGCACAAGAAAAUGAGAUAUCAACUACCCCAACACAAAAAAAAACAUUUACAAGAGAUAACACAAUACUGUAUAUGAAAAAUGUACUAGUAAAUUAGAGAACAUUAGAGCAUCAUUAUCC